rnacentral:tRNA from 1 species
GCGGCCGUAGUCUAGCCUGGUCUAGGACGUCGGCCCGCCACGCCGAGGACCCGGGUUCAAAUCCCGGCGGCCGCACCA